GUCGUAUGUUAUAUGUGUCAGUACGAGACUGCCGGUAAAAGACCGGAGGGAAGGUGAGGAUGAUGUCAAGUCAGCAUGACCUUUAUAUCCAGGGCUACACACACGCUACAAUGGUCUGUACAAUGGGUAGCCAAGCCGCGAGGCGGAGCCAAUCCUGAAAGCAGGCCUCAGUUCAGAUUGCAGUCUGCAACUCGACUGCAUGAAGCCGGAGUUGCUAGUAACCGCAGGUCAGCAAUACUGGCGGUGAAUUACCGGUUCCCGGGUUCUU
rnacentral:rRNA from 1 species